AGUGAACGCUGGCGGUAGGCCUAACACAUGCAAGUCGAACGGCAGCACAGUAAGAGCUUGCUCUUACGGGUGGCGAGUGGCGGACGGGUGAGGAAUACAUCGGAAUCUACUUUUUCGUGGGGGAUAACGUAGGGAAACUUACGCUAAUACCGCAUACGACCUACGGGUGAAAGCAGGGGAUCUUCGGACCUUGCGCGAUUGAAUGAGCCGAUGUCGGAUUAGCUAGUUGGCGGGGUAAAGGCCCACCAAGGCGACGAUCCGUAGCUGGUCUGAGAGGAUGGUCAGCCACACUGGAACUGAGACACGGUCCAGACUCCUACGGGAGGCAGCAGUGGGGAAUAUUGGACAAUGGGCGCAAGCCUGAUCCAGCCAUACCGCGUGGGUGAAGAAGGCCUUCGGGUUGUAAAGCCCUUUUGUUGGGAAAGAAAAGCAGCAGGUUAAUACCCCGCUGUUCUGACGGUACCCAAAGAAUAAGCACCGGCUAACUUCCUG
rnacentral:rRNA from 1 species